rnacentral:misc_RNA from 1 species
AUACAUAAAAUGAUUAAUGUGAGCCAUAUCUACGUGCAUUGCUGAAGAGUUGACAACCUUAAACACUCUGCAGAUCCGAUCUCCAAAAUCCCAGUUUAAUAUCCGCUGGGCUUUACCUUCAGUACUUGCCUCUAUAGUGGCCUUGCAUGACUCUGUUUACGUCUGUUCCAUCAAGCAUUAUAUCAACACCAUCAACUUUGAUCAUCUUCAAAUUUGGCGUGUUCGAGUCUCCAUCAGAAGCCACAA